UGUGUCGCCUAGUUGUUCAUAUCUUAGCGUUUCGUGAUUGUGAUUCAGUUUUGACGCAGCAUUGUCUUGUACCGUGAUGUCGUCCAUGGCUUCCAGGAACACUUCACGUACAGGAGUCGAAGAUAUUUACGAACAAGUUUGGUUUGCAUACCAGCUUAUGGAAUCAUUUCUUCUGCCAAUAUAAGCCAACAAGAUUGGUUUGAACUCAGAUACGCAAUCAGGAUCAUCAGAAACAGAUGGCGAAGAAACUGUGGGUGAAGCCGAGGAGAUAGAAAAUUAUAACAGCGUGGCGGGUUCCUCGAAUCCUGCUUCUACGGUUUCAUCACCAUCUACAAGUAAAUCCAAGGAGAUAUCUCGUCAUCGCACUGCUUCGAAUAUAGCGGAACAGCAAAUGGCCACAGCAUGUAGUUAAUUAGCGAAUGUACUUAGUCAACGUACAUCAUGGGCAAAUACUGAAGAUGAUGAAUGUAAUCUGUAUGCUAAGCUAUUAGUCAAAAAGAUGUGGCACUUCCUCAAAACGACAGGAAAUUAACGAUGUAUGAAAUAGAUGGUUUAUUUAUCAAAAUAAUUAAACAGAUGUCAUUUUGGUGUGAAACACCAUCCCCUCAUAAUUCAUUUAAAUAUUCUAGACCAUCAUCAGUGACAAGUGGAUAUAUAGUAGUACCAAACCGCUCAGCAAGUUAUUUAAACGUAAUUUUCUGAAAUUUCUACCACAAAUCAUGACCCCUUCACCACCAAUCCCAUCUCCAAUUUUGAAAGGUCCUCCACUCCAUUAGAACCACCACAUCCUCGAAAUAUAGAUGACAACAUAACUAUCUACUCAACCGAAUCCAACCCUUCAAAGCCCACC